GGGGAGUAGCAAUACUCCCGCCGGCGACCGGCGCACGGGUGAGUAACACGUAUGAAACCUGCCCGUAGCAGGGGGAUAAGCGGAAGAAAUUCCGUCUAAUACCGCGUAACAACCCAUGGAGGCAUCUCCGUGGGUUUAAAGGAAGCGAUUCCGGCUACGGAUGGUCAUGCGUCGCAUUAGCUUGUUGGCGGGGUAACGGCCCACCAAGGCGACGAUGCGUAGGGGUUCUGAGAGGAAGGUCCCCCACACUGGUACUGAGACACGGACCAGACUCCUACGGGAGGCAGCAGUGAGGAAUAUUGGUCAAUGGCCGCAGGGCUGAGCCAGCCAAGUCGCGUGAGGGAUGACGGUCCUAUGGAUUGUAAACCUCUUUUGUCAGGGAGCAAAGGGCGCCACGUGUGGCGUUUUGCGAGUACCUGAAGGAAAAGCAUCGGCUAACUCCGUGCCAGCAGCCGCGGUAAUACGGAGGAUGCGAGCGUUAUCCGGAUUUAUUGGGUUUAAAGGGUGCGCAGGCGGAAUGUCAAGUCAGCGGUAAAAUUUCGGGGCUCAACCCCGUCGUGCCGUUGAAACUGGCGUUCUUGAGUGAGCGAGAAGUAUGCGGAAUGCGUGGUGUAGCGGUGAAAUGCAUAGAUAUCACGCAGAACUCCGAUUGCGAAGGCAGCAUGCCGGCGCUCAACUGACGCUCAUGCACGAAAGCGUGG
rnacentral:rRNA from 1 species